GGGUGAGUAACACGUGGGUAACCUGCCUGUAAGACUGGGAUAACUCCGGGAAACCGGAGCUAAUACCGGAUAGUUCCUUGAACCGCAUGGUUCAAGGAUGAAAGACGGUUUCGGCUGUCACUUACAGAUGGACCCGCGGCGCAUUAGCUAGUUGGUGGGGUAAUGGCUCACCAAGGCGACGAUGCGUAGCCGACCUGAGAGGGUGAUCGGCCACACUGGGACUGAGACACGGCCCAGACUCCUACGGGAGGCAGCAGUAGGGAAUCUUCCGCAAUGGACGAAAGUCUGACGGAGCAACGCCGCGUGAGUGAUGAAGGUUUUCGGAUCGUAAAGCUCUGUUGUUAGGGAAGAACAAGUGCGAGAGUAACUGCUCGCACCUUGACGGUACCUAACCAGAAAGCCACGGCUAACUACGUGCCAGCAGCCGCGGUAAUACGUAGGUGGCAAGCGUUGUCCGGAAUUAUUGGGCGUAAAGGGCUCGCAGGCGGUUUCUUAAGUCUGAUGUGAAAGCCCCCGGCUCAACCGGGGAGGGUCAUUGGAAACUGGGAAACUUGAGUGCAGAAGAGGAGAGUGGAAUUCCACGUGUAGCGGUGAAAUGCGUAGAGAUGUGGAGGAACACCAGUGGCGAAGGCGACUCUCUGGUCUGUAACUGACGCUGA
rnacentral:rRNA from 1 species